CCUACGGGAGGCAGCAGUGGGGAAUUUUGGACAAUGGGCGAAAGCCUGAUCCAGCAAUGCCGCGUGCAGGAUGAAGGCCUUCGGGUUGUAAACUGCUUUUGUACGGAACGAAACGGUUCGCCUUAAUACGGUGGGCUAAUGACGGUACCGUAAGAAUAAGCACCGGCUAACUACGUGCCAGCAGCCGCGGUAAUACGUAGGGUGCGAGCGUUAAUCGGAAUUACUGGGCGUAAAGCGUGCGCAGGCGGUUAUAUAAGACAGAUGUGAAAUCCCCGGGCUCAACCUGGGACCUGCAUUUGUGACUGUAUAGCUAGAGUACGGUAGAGGGGGAUGGAAUUCCGCGUGUAGCAGUGAAAUGCGUAGAUAUGCGGAGGAACACCGAUGGCGAAGGCAAUCCCCUGGACCUGUACUGACGCUCAUGCACGAAAGCGUGGGGAGCAAACAGGAUUAGAUACCCUGGUAGUCCACGCCCUAAACGAUGUCAACUGGUUGUUGGGUCUUCACUGACUCAGUAACGAAGCUAACGCGUGAAGUUGACCGCCUGGGGAGUCGGCCGCAAGGUUGAACUCAAAGGAUUGACGGCGNGAGAGNGCGACGGACGACGACGAGGGAGGAGG
rnacentral:rRNA from 1 species